rnacentral:rRNA from 1 species
UACGUAGGGGGCAAGCGUUGUCCGGAAUCAUUGGGCGUAAAGAGCGCGUAGGCGGCUUGUCACGUCGGGUGUGAAAGACCGGGGCUUAACUCCGGUUCUGCAUUCGAUACGGGCUAGCUAGAGUGUGGUAGGGGAGAUCGGAAUUCCUGGUGUAGCGGUGAAAUGCGCAGAUAUCAGGAGGAACACCGGUGGCGAAGGCGGAUCUCUGGGCCAUUACUGACGCUGAGGAGCGAAAGCGUGGGGAGCGAACAGG